rnacentral:sRNA from 1 species
UCAGCAGCACAGGUAGACUGAAGCCCUCUCUCCACAGAGCAGGUAUGGCCAGGCAGUGGCAGGGCAAGCUUCCCCAACACCAUCCCCAUCCCUCACUGGGUUUCCUUGCAGGGUGAGAGGGGAGCUUAGUCUCCAAUGCCCAGUCAAUCCUCACUUUCU